GCUGGGUGUGGCGGCUCACACCUGUAAUCCCAGCACUUUGGGAGGCCGAGGUAGGAGGAUCACCUGAGGUCAGGAGUUUGAGCUCAACCUGGCCAACAUGGUGAAACCCUGUCUCUA
ensembl:misc_RNA Metazoa_SRP Metazoan signal recognition particle RNA